rnacentral:rRNA from 1 species
GACGAACGCUGGCGGCGUGCUUAACACAUGCAAGUCGAACGGAAAGGCCCUGCUUUUGUGGGGUGCUCGAGUGGCGAACGGGUGAGUAACACGCGAGUAACCUGCCCUUGACUUUGGGAUAACUUCAGGAAACUGGGGCUAAUACCGGAUAGGAGCUCCUGCUGCAUGGUGGGGGUUGGAAAGUUUCGGCGGUUGGGGAUGGACUCGCGGCUUAUCGGCUUGUUGGUGGGGUAGUGGCUUACCAAGGCUUUGACGGGUAGCCGGCCUGAGAGGGUGACCGGCCACAUUGGGACUGAGAUACGGCCCAGACUCCUACGGGAGGCAGCAGUGGGGAAUAUUGCACAAUGGGCGGAAGCCUGAUGCAGCAACGCCGCGUGCGGGAUGACGGCCUUCGGGUUGUAAACCGCUUUCGCCUGUGACGAAGCGUGAGUGACGGUAAUGGGUAAAGAAGCACCGGCUAACUACGUG